rnacentral:lncRNA from 1 species
UACUUUUGUUUUCUCUUCAAGAAUUAGGUUUGAUGAUUAUAUUCAUUAUAUUUUCAAAGACAAACACAGUUCACCUUUGCUAUUAUUAAGAAACUUGCUGUUGAAAAAGGUACAACUAAAUCUAAUGCUAUGAUCUAUAUCUGAAUUCUGACAGGAUGAUUCAAAGAAAUUUAAAAAAAAAAAAAAACCUAAAUAAAUUAAAGCCACCAUGUUUGAAAGUGACUGAGGAAAACAGUAAAGUCUUGGCACAAGUUUUUCUAAGUACUAAAGUAUACUACAGUUGGUCAAUGUAGUAAUAAGAUAAUAAAGGCUGAUUUGCA